UGCGCAGGCGGUGAUGUAAGACAGAUGUGAAAUCCCCGGGCUCAACCUGGGACCUGCAUUUGUGACUGCAUCGCUAGAGUACGGUAGAGGGGGAUGGAAUUCCGCGUGUAGCAGUGAAAUGCGUAGAUAUGCGGAGGAACACCGAUGGCGAAGGCAAUCCCCUGGACCUGUACUGACGCUCAUGCACGAAAGCGUGGGGAGCAAACAGGAUUAGAUACCCUGGUAGUCC
rnacentral:rRNA from 1 species